AGCAUGCAAGGGAGAGGCGGUGAGGUACCGGGGGCGGGGGUUAAGCGCUGUAUCUGCAGAUAUAAAUGCUCAGGUGCGCUUCUGAGGGGGAAAUAUAGGCAGCUCUGCUUCCAGCUACACGCAUGUUGCUGUCGAGGUAAUAGUUGCCUCUGAGGAAACUGUACAGGCAGUGAUCCUGCACGGGGUAUGCGGUGUCGGUGGGCUAAGGUGAUAGCUGUGCAGCAGUACUGGCUGUAGGGAGAAGGCUUAGAAGUGGGGUUGAUUGUGCUUGCUGCUUUCCUGGGUUUUGUGACUGGCCAGUGGCCUUUUUCCAGAAGAAGCUGGCACUUUAGCUCAAGAAAAAGGCAUUUGAGGAGUCCUAGAACUAGGACUUCACCCAGGAUUCUGCCCAAAUAGAAGCAUCUUGUCUUGAAAACUAAUAGAAGAUAAUACCUGUUUAAAGUAUCUUCAUCUCCACCACUUUGCUUCUGUAGCUAAACUUAUCACCUGCUUUGUCUAGUCAACCUUUAAAGAUCUUAUUUCCAUCUCUGCAGCACCUGAGGAUGUAAAUAGAUCAUUUCAUCUUAUUGCUGUUAGCUUUGUGAAUUCUGCGUGUAGUUCAGUGUUCAGAGCUUUUUCAAACAGCAGUGGUCUGGAAUAAGAGCAGAAUUUUGAUAGCUUUUACUGUUGCUAUUCAGAAUCCCAUCCCAUAUGUAGCAGUGCAACUGACCAGAACUAUGUCACUUUAACCCUGCUACUUGGAAAAAAUCCUGAGCGGCAGCAAAAGAAACUACUGGAGAGGGAAAUUCCGAGUAUGAAGAAAGGUGGAGGAUAAACUAGUAGAACAAAUUUAAGGUUAGGGGCUGGUAGAGAGAAUGCUCCUUCUUUUGCAGGGGAAAUGUAUGGGGAGGGGGCUUCAAAACUGUCACACACCUACUAGCAAGCAGCUGACAUAAAAGAUGGAGCCCUUGAGUAGGGUAAAGGGACAACACCAUGGUAAGCAGCAAGUUGGGAAGGGCAGUUGGCUUUUCACUAGGUCAUUAAGUUGGCCAGUGAGCUUCCUCCUGUCUUUUUAUUUUGGACUGUCUAGUGAGUUUAAUCUUUUGACUAGUUGGUAUCUGGUAAAUUUUUCAAACCCUGCUUUAAAACUUCAUCCUAUUUCUUUAACAUCACUUACUCGAUAUUCACUGUGUUCCCACUUUUCUGAUGGGGAAACUGAGGCACCGAGCUCAUAAGCUCUGUCUUCUGUGGCACCAUAGCUAAAUCUUAUGGUAGGAAUCACAAAUUAUGCUUCGGUAUUAAUUUACUCUGUCUUCAUGGAAUACUCUUCAUUCCUAUGGCUAACUGAAUGUAAACUUAAUGAUUAUUUUCAAUUAUGGAUCUUUUCAACUGCACUAUCAAGGUUGUCCAUCUUCCUGGGCUUCUGCUGUACUACAGUACAUGCAAAUUGCUUCACAUGAAUCUUUUUCUUAUGUUUAAUUUCUGUAGUGAAUUAUAAAUUGAAUAAGUCAGCACUCGUGCAGUGACAACAUACUAACUAGUUAGUAGUAGUAAUGAGAAUUUUUAAAGAGCUACUUAACUUAUUCUGCUCCUGAUUAUGCAGUUGGGCCUCAACUCAUGUACAAUGAAUGUUCAGGAUAUUGACAACUAAAAUUUUGGAGGAGAAAAGAACAAAGUUCCAAACUAGCAGCGGGUGGAGAGUGAAAGCAAUUCUGAUUAUUUGUCAGUGGACAGUUUAAGACUUCAAAUUUGGCUAUGUGACAGAACAUGAUUGUCCCAGUUUUCAGGGUUCAGUCCUGUUCUUUCAGGGACAGCUCAUGCAUCUUCCCAGUUGACCAUGGGGGCUCCAUGCAGCGAAUGGUCUCCCACUUGGAGCAUGCCUGAAUUGUUGGAUCCUGCUGGCACUGUGGGGAGAGAUGCCUGUGCAGUCACAGUCCUAGCUCUGCUUCAGCUGUAGGAACUUCAAUACCUAUGGUCAGAGUUCUCAUGGGUUAUUGGAUAAGAGUUACAAAUGGAACAUGCAUCAGUGCUGUGGAUUUGUGAAGCUUUUCUUUUCAUGCAAAACUUAAAUGGGGGGCCUAAGCUGCCUGACCAACUGAUCUAGGGUGACUAGACAGCAAGUAUGAAAAAUCAGGACAGGGGGUGGGGGGUAAUAGGAGCCUAUACAAGAGACCCAAAAAUCAGGACUGACCCUAUAAAAUCGGGACAUCUGGUCACCCUAAACUGAUCUAACUCUGCAUGGCUUUUCUAUAGUUAGGCUGGCAAAGAUUACAUCUUUAUUGGUAAAUGUCAGUUUCACCAUCCACACACAAUGACAGAAUUGCUAAUUGAAAUGUAAAGAGGCAAUGUAAGAAAAAUCCUGCUUGAGAACUUUAGAGUUUGAUUUAAGGAUAUAUACUUUGUAUAUUUUGGCAUGUGAUGUUGACAAUUUGUGUUUUAAUGGUUAUAAAGACUUUACUUUUUGAAUCUCAAUGCCUACUACCACUAAAUAAUAUCUGAUGCCCCCCAUUUCCUGCAAUUGUGAAAAUUUCAAUAAAAUGCUUAAACAUUAA